GAAAAAUGGAAGAUAUAACUUAAGAACAGAUCUCAGAAAUUUCGCCACCAAUUAACAAUCUUUGUCUAUUAAACAAAUUCGAAUCAAUGAAAUUUAGAGAUUAGAAGAGAAAGGUGGCAUCUGACCUUCAACAUUUACCCUUUCCUUUCGCAGAAUGCAUGACUUAGUUGACUGCUACGGCAGGUAACAGAAGAUCGCCACGUGUUUAUUCUCUGUCCCACUUGAGUAACGAGUUUACCACACGCACACGGAGAAACUAUACACGUGUCAAGAAGGCAAAGACGACAGCACAAUCGCACUUCUCAAGGAUAACAGAUGACAAUCGGAAAGUUUCCGUUUCUUAUCUCUUAUUAUUUCACCACUCUUCUCUUCGGUGAGCAUGAUGAAUAUCUCAAGCUGACUACCGUGUUACACCAUGAUGAAACACGAACAAGCAAACUGCGCAGGAAUGCGCAAGAUAGAAUAUCCGCCAAUUGCCACGUGGCAAUCUACACCAAUUGUAACCUUCACCAUAAACUUCGCAUACAGAACGACUUGGAUAUAUAAAAAACGGGAUAACCUUCUGCUUUUAAAAAUCUGAUAUUAUCUCCUUUGCUUCUCUUAACACGUUCUACGUUGUCAUCUGUUCUUUAUCUUCUUGUCGGCACUUUCCCAAAUAACAGAAACCAGAAAAGAUUAUAGACCAAGAUGGAUAGUCUUACGCUCACAGGGUUAUUGAAACACGUCGCCGGAGACUUCCCUCAUGGGAGAGCGGUGUCAGUUUCGGGCAAGUUUGAUUUGACGCACUCUCAACUCCACGAACUGGUUGAACGGGCCGCUUCUCGUCUUGUUUCAGCAGGGAUUAAUCCAGGCGAUGUUGUUGCGCUAACUUUUCCUAACACUAUCGAGGUUUGAAACUUCCAUUUCGCUAUCAGUCUCAAAAACUCUGAUGUUUUUAUAAAUAAUCCAAAGAUGUCGAUUUAUUUGUCUUUUUCUUGUGAUAAUUACAGUUUGUAAGUGUGUUUUUGGCCGUAAUCCGAGCCCGAGCCACCGCUGCGCCACUUAAUUCAGUCUACACCACGGAGGAGUUCGAGUUCUACCUAUCGGACUCUGAGUCAAAGCUUUUACUGACCCCGCAGGAAGGGAACGCCUCCGCUCAAGCAGCGGCUUCCAAGCUUAACAUUCGUCACGCGACCGUUUCACUGCCCGGAGCCGAUUCUGAAUUGGUGUUCUCACUCCCGCAGUCAGACGUUAUCUCUCUCGCUGGCCUUGCCAACGAGCCAAACGACGUCGCACUCUUUCUUCACACCUCUGGAACUACGAGCAGACCCAAAGGAGUGCCAUUGACACAACUCAAUUUGGCGUCUUCUGUGAGAAAUAUAAUGGCAGUCUAUAAACUCACCGACUCAGACUCCACCGUCAUAGUCCUGCCGUUGUUUCACGUUCAUGGAUUGGUAGCCGGAUUACUGAGUUCACUUGGAUCAGGAGCCGCCGUGGCUCUCCCAGCCGCUGGCCGAUUCUCAGCAUCAACGUUUUGGAAAGACAUGCUCAAAUACAAGGCUACGUGGUACACGGCAGUCCCCACCAUCCAUCAAAUUAUACUGGAUCGACACUUUAGUAAUCCAGAAGCAGUUUACCCGAAGCUCCGGUUCAUCCGGAGCUGUAGUGCAUCCCUUGCACCUGUUGUAUUAGCUAGGCUAGAGGAGACUUUCUGUGCGCCGGUAUUGGAGGCGUAUGCAAUGACGGAGGCAACUCAUUUGAUGUCAUCGAACCCGUUACCGGAAGAUGGCCCGCAUAAGUCCGGGUCGGUGGGGAAACCAGUGGGUCAAGAAAUGGCGAUAUUGGAUGAAAAUGGCGAGGCUCAAGGUGCAAAUAAAAGUGGAGAGGUUUGCAUCAGAGGUCCAAACGUAACUAAGGGGUAUAAAAAUAAUACUGAGGCAAACAAGGUGGCAUUUCAAUUCGGGUGGUUUCAUACUGGAGAUCUGGGUUAUCUUGAUUCGGAUGGCUACUUGCAUCUGGUGGGUAGGAUUAAGGAGCUUAUUAACCGUGGAGGGGAGAAGAUAUCGCCAGUAGAAGUGGAUGUAAUUCUUCUAUCUCAUACAGACAUCGCUGAAGCUGUUGCUUUUGGAGUUCCCGAUGAUAAAUAUGGUGAAGAGGUAAAAUCAAUAAAUCAAGAUUCUCCUAAAUUAUUAAUUUUCGACCAUCCCUUUCCAAAACCUCCACCCUAUGUUCAUGUGUAAUUGUUAUGGUCUAAAAUUUAUAGAUAAUAUCUCCUCCUUCAAUAUAUAUACCACAGGCUUAUGCAUAUUGCCCUAGGCACAGUUAAGUCGCUUGCCCCAGUAUGAUGUUUAGCCGUCAUCAGAAAAAGUACCAAGUCAUUGGUUAAUUAUGGUUUGGGUGUUGUUUGACUUGACCAUCCACUCCAAAUUUAUGGUGGUUAGCAAGGUAUUAGGUUUGCUCCUUUUUACUGGACAUUUAACCAAACAGUGUGCAAGUAUCUGACCAGGAUUAUGACAAUUAGACGCCUUUUAGGCAAGGAAUGACUCUGCAAUUGCCUAUCCUGGAGCUUAGGUUGCUAGAUUUCCAGAUUUUCUAAUGCAUCUUUUUGCGUCUCCAAUAGAUAAAUUGUGCAAUAAUUCCUA
rnacentral:misc_RNA from 1 species